GGGGGGGAGAGAACUGCCUUGCACCACUAGUGCAGCCUGCCAUGCAAGGGGCGGGGGAGAGAGAGAGAAGUGAGGGGAGACAGAAGUGAGAGGUGAGAGAAGGCAUGUGAUGUUGACAGAGCAAUUUACCCAACUGUCAGCACAGAGAGAAUAUGACUGGAAUCCAUGAUCAGCCCAUGCAUCUACUCAGCUGACUUACAAAGUCUUAAUGGAAAUCACUGAAAGAAAGUGACAAGAAAUGGAAGUCCUUAUAGUAUAUGACAGAAACCACCAAGAAUGGAUGGAUGCCAAUUACAUAUGAUUAAUAGACACAAAAGGAAUGAGCCACACAGCACAACAUGUAUCAUCUCACUUGAAGGAACACACACAACUCUUUUUCUGUGAACUGUCCUGCAAGGAUCCUUUUACUUUGUCCAUGCUAAAAAGAAUGUGUUGCAGAAAACUCUUCCAGCAGAGAUUCAGCAGGCCUCCUCAUUUCUGACUCUCAGGCAUACCUUGAAGAUGGGUU